rnacentral:rRNA from 1 species
UACGAAGGGGGCUAGCGUUGCUCGGAAUCACUGGGCGUAAAGCGCACGUAGGCGGAUCUUUAAGUCAGGGGUGAAAUCCCAAGGCUCAACCUUGGAACUGCCUUUGAUACUGGGGAUCUCGAGUCCGGAAGAGGUGAGUGGAACUGCGAGUGUAGAGGUGAAAUUCGUAGAUAUUCGCAAGAACACCAGUGGCGAAGGCGCUCACUGGCCCGGUACUGACGCUGAGGUGCGAAAGCGUGGGGAGCAAACAGGAUUAAGAAACC